UACGGAGGGUGCAAGCGUUAAUCGGAAUUACUGGGCGUAAAGCGCGCGUAGGCGGAAUGUUAAGUCUCAUGUGAAAGCCCAGGGCUCAACCUUGGAACUGCAUGGGAUACUGGCAUUCUAGAAUACAGUAGAGGGAGGUGGAAUUUCAGGUGUAGCGGUGAAAUGCGCAGAUAUCCGGAGGAACACCAGUGGCGAAAGCGGCCUCCUGGACCACUCCUGACGCUCAGACGCGAAAGCUAGGGUAGCAAACGGG
rnacentral:rRNA from 1 species